AUUGUUAACGGCUGCGGUUCCAAGUGGCUGUGGGUAUUGCUGCGGCUGGCGCGGCGUCGCUCUAGCCAGUAAAUGACCUGCGACAUAACUAUUUGCAAAACAAAUGGGGAAGACCAAGAUAAAGAUAAGUUAUAUCACAGGAAAGCAAUUGAAAAUGCAAAAAUGAAGCAUCUGAAUGAAGGACUAAUAACACUGAAUUCAGCUUUUGUGAAUCUUAUCUGCAGAUAUGUACAGACUACAUCCUAAGAUUGACUUCUGCCUCAACAGAAAUACAUGAGCCAGUGCCUUAUUGGAAAUGAUUUGCGUGUUUUAAGAACUGGUAAAUCAGGGAUUUCUUCUUGGUUUGGAUCCACUGCUGGUUUUCUUCCACCAUCUGUGACAGCUUCUUUAUCUGUCCCCAGGAAUCCUGCUUUUUUUUUUUUUUGAGACACGGUCUCGCUCUGUCACCCAUGCUGGAGUGCAGUGGUGCAAUCACAGAUCACGGCACUGUCUAAUUCCUGGGCUCAAGUGAACCUCCUGCAUCAGCCUCCUGAGUAG
rnacentral:sRNA from 1 species